CCGCAUAUUAUAUCCAACGCCGCUCGUUUGGCAUAAGGAACAAUGUCGAAUUCUGGUUUAUCGACUUCCUGACUUAGGCACGAGAUUAAUAUUUGGGCUUCUCUGAUUGCCGUCUUCAAGUAUACUUCCAGAAGACCACUGUGGAAGGUUAAAGAAAUGAAUCAAAAGGGUUUACAUUAAAAGUCACAAUGAGAAAACGGUUAAUGGUGUACUUCCGGACAAAAAGAUAGCAGGUGGCAUAAAUCUGGAAAAUUUUAUUGAAUAACGAACAAAAAUACAGAGAUAUAUUUCAUUAAUUUAA